rnacentral:rRNA from 1 species
AGCGAACGCUGGCGGCGUGCCUAACACAUGCAAGUCGAACGUGAAAGGGGCUUCGGCCUCAAGUAAAGUGGCGUACGGGUGAGUAACACGUAGGUAAUCUACCUGAGAGUCUGGAAUAACCUGCCGAAAGGCGGGCUAAUACUGGAUAGAGCGAUGGAAUCCGUAAUUGGGUUUUUCGGGAAAGGGAGCUUGUUAAGAGCCCUUCGCUUUCAGAUGAGCCUGCGUCCCAUCAGCUAGUUGGUAAGGUAACGGCUUACCAAGGCUAUGACGGGUAGCUGGUCUGAGAGGAUGAUCAGCCACACUGGAACUGAAACACGGUCCAGACUCCUACGGGAGGCAGCAGUGGGGAAUCUUGCGCAAUGGAGGAAACUCUGACGCAGCCACGCCGCGUGAGUGAAGAAGGCCUUCGGGUUGUAAAGCUCUGUCGCCCGGGACGAAAAGCCUGUGGGUUAAUAGCCCACGGGUCUGACGGUACCGGGAGAGGAAGCACCGGCUAACUUCGUGCCAGCCGCCGCCGUAA